rnacentral:snRNA from 1 species
GGAACCAUGUGUCCUGCAUC